CGCGGCGCCCCCGGACUGGGCCAACGCGAGCUGCAGCCCCCGGCCUGGCGCUCCGGAGGCCGCGCUGGGGGCCCGGGUCUUCUCGACAGUGACGGCCGUCUCAGUGCUGCUGCUGCUGCUGCUGCUGUCGCUGCUGCGCCUGCUACGCCGACGGUGCGCCCGCUGGGGCGGGGCCCGAGGGCGGACACUGCUGGGCGCCUGACGCCUCGGUGCCCGGGGGCCCUGGUGGGAAGCUGGGGCUUCCGAGGGGAACGGGGCUGGGAGGAAAUCCUGGGGUCGUGAGGGACAAAGGCUUGCGUCCACACAGGGAGUCGCGCGUGGGAUCGCAGCUGAAGCAGGAGCUGGAGGUAAGAUGGGUUGGGGGUUCAGCUGACGUCUGCUCCCUCUCUAGGAGCUGUCUGCUGGCUCCGGGAAAAGGGCCCGCGGCGUUGGGGCCUUCCCGGGGCCCCGGGAGAAGCUGGGCUGUGUGGUACCGUCGGCCUCGAGGGGUCGCCCUGCCCUGUCCCCCUGGGGACUCUCAGGCUGAGGGUCUAGCCGCGAGUUACCGGCCCCUGAGCUCCUCCAGCCAGAGCUCCCUGCGCUCGCUCAUCUCUGCUCUCUGACUCGGGAUCCCCAGGGUCCACUGGACCCUCUGCCAGCGGAAUGGACACCUCAGACUCCAUGCCGCACUCUACGUUGACCUUCCGCCCCUUUAAGGGCAGCUCGGUCUCUCAUCAUCUCCUGGAGGCCAGACAUUGAACAGGAAGCAUCUGGUGCUGAUACUGAGAACUUGGUCUGACCCUCGGGGGUCCAGAUGGUUGAGGCCAAAGGCCAAGAGGAAUCCAGCUCCCCUCCCUCAUCAACCUUAAUACGGGGGUCUCUGAUUUCAGGUUGCUUUUAGAACCUCUUGGGGGUGGUUCUGGACUGCUGCCCUAAGCGAAAUGCUAGAGGUCAAGGAAAGUAGUCAAAAGACCAGCCAUAGACUCUGAAUAAAGUACCUAUUUUGGUACAGGG